GAUGAACGCUAGCGACAGGCCUAACACAUGCAAGUCGAGGGGCAGCACGGUGUAGCAAUACACGGGUGGCGACCGGCGCACGGGUGAGUAACGCGUAUGCAACCUGCCUACUACAAGGGGAUAACCCGUUGAAAGACGGACUAAUACCCUAUAACACAGGGAAUCCGCAUGGAUAUAUUUGUUAAAGACUUUAUCGGUAGUAGAUGGGCAUGCGUUCCAUUAGCUUGUUGGUGAGGUAACGGCUCACCAAGGCAACGAUGGAUAGGGGAACUGAGAGGUUGAUCCCCCACACUGGAACUGAGACACGGUCCAGACUCCUACGGGAGGCAGCAGUGAGGAAUAUUGGUCAAUGGACGAGAGUCUGAACCAGCCAAGUCGCGUGAAGGAAGACGGCCCUACGGGUUGUAAACUUCUUUUGUAACGGGAAUAAAUAGUCUUACGCGCUAAGACGUUGCAGGUACCUUACGAAUAAGGAUCGGUAACUCCGUGCCAGCAGCCGCGGUAAAAGUC
rnacentral:rRNA from 1 species